GAUGAACGCUGGCGGCGUGCCUAAUACAUGCAAGUCGAGCGAACAGACGAGGAGCUUGCUCCUCAGACGUUAGCGGCGGACGGGUGAGUAACACGUGGAUAACCUACCUAUAAGACUGGGAUAACUUCGGGAAACCGGAGCUAAUACCGGAUAAUAUAUUGAACCGCAUGGUUCAAUAGUGAAAGACGGUUUUGCUGUCACUUAUAGAUGGAUCCGCGCCGCAUUAGCUAGUUGGUAAGGUAACGGCUUACCAAGGCGACGAUGCGUAGCCGACCUGAGAGGGUGAUCGGCCACACUGGAACUGAGACACGGUCCAGACUCCUACGGGAGGCAGCAGUAGGGAAUCUUCCGCAAUGGGCGAAAGCCUGACGGAGCAACGCCGCGUGAGUGAUGAAGGUCUUCGGAUCGUAAAACUCUGUUAUUAGGGAAGAACAAAUGUGUAAGUAACUAUGCACGUCUUGUCGGUACCUAAUCAGAAAGCCACGGCUAACUACGUG
rnacentral:rRNA from 1 species